UACGUAGGGUGCAAGCGUUGUCCGGAAUUAUUGGGCGUAAAGAGCUCGUAGGCGGUUCGUCGCGUCGGCUGUGAAAACCCGGAGCUCAACUCCGGGCCUGCAGUCGAUACGGGCGGACUUGAGUGUUGCAGGGGAGGCUGGAAUUCCUGGUGUAGCGGUGAAAUGCGCAGAUAUCAGGAGGAACACCGGUGGCGAAGGCGGGUCUCUGGGCGAACUACUGACGCUGAGGAGCGAAAGCGUGGGGAGCGAACAGG
rnacentral:rRNA from 1 species